rnacentral:rRNA from 1 species
GACGAACGCUGGCGGCGUGCUUAACACAUGCAAGUCGAACGGUGACGGCAGAGCUUGCUCUGCCUGAUCAGUGGCGAACGGGUGAGUAACACGUGAGUAACCUGCCCCUCACUUCGGGAUAACCUCGGGAAAUCGUGGCUAAUACCGGAUAUGAGACCUGACUGCAUGGUCGGGUCUGGAAAGAUUUAUCGGUGGGGGAUGGACUCGCGGCCUAUCAGCUUGUUGGUGAGGUAACGGCUAACCAAGGCGACGACGGGUAGCCGGCCUGAGAGGGCGACCGGCCACACUGGGACUGAGACACGGCCCAGACUCGUACGGGAGGCAGCAGUGGCAAAUGUUGGACAAUGGGCGGAAGACUGAUCCAGCAAUGCCGCGUGCAGGAGGCAGGCCUGCGGGUUGUAAAAUGAGUUUGUAAGGAACGAAAAGGCUCUGGCUAAUACAGGGGGCACAUGAGGGGACCGUAAGAAUAAGCACCGGCUAACUACGUG